GUGCCAGCCGCCGCGGUAAUACGUAGGAUCCGAGCGUUAUCCGAAUUUACUGGGCGUAAAGCGCGUGCAGGUGGUUUGGUAAGUUGGAUGUGAAAGCUCCUGGCUCAACUGGGAGAGGCCGUUCAAAACUACCAGACUAGAGGACAGUAGAGGGAGGUGGAAUUCCCGGUGUAGUAGUGAAAUGCGUAGAUAUCGGGAGGAACACCAGUGGCGAAAGCGGCCUCCUGGACUGUUCCUGACACUCAGAUGCGAAAGCUAGGGGAGCAAACGGGAUUAGAUACCCCCGUAGUCC
rnacentral:rRNA from 1 species